ACGGGUGAGUAAUGUCUGGGAAACUGCCUGAUGGAGGGGGAUUACUACUGGAAACGGUAGCUAAUACCGCAUAACGUCGCAAGACCAAAGAGGGGGACCUUCGGGCCUCUUGCCAUCAGAUGUGCCCAGAUGGGAUUAGCUAGUAGGUGGGGUAACGGGCUCACCUAGGCGACGAUCCCUAGCUGGUCUGAGAGGAUGACCAGCCACACUGGAACUGAGACACGGUCCAGACUCCUACGGGAGGCAGCAUG
rnacentral:rRNA from 1 species